AUUGAACGCUGGCGGCAGGCUUAACACAUGCAAGUCGAGCGAGCGGCGGACGGGUGAGUAAUUUCUGGGAAACUGCCUGAUGGAGGGGGAUAACUACUUGAAACUGUAGCUAAUACCGCCUACCAUCAGCUAUGCCCAGAUGGGAUUAGCUAGUAGGUGGGGUAAUGGCUCACCUAGUCGACUAUCCCUAGCUGGUCUGAGAGUAUGACCAGUCACACUGGAACUGAGACACGGUCCAGACUCCUACGGGAGGCAGCAGUGGGGAAUAUUGCACAAGGGGCGAAAGCCUGAUGCAGCCAUGCCGCGUGUGUGAAGAAGGCCUUCGGGUUGUAAAGAACUUUGAGCGAGGAGGCGUUACUCGCAGAAGAAGCACCGGCUAACUCCGUGCCAGCAGCCGCGGUAAUUC
rnacentral:rRNA from 1 species